UCGAGUAACUGUGAUUGUGUUGUAAACACAGCGACGUAAACAUUUUCAACGAAGAGUCGGAGACUAUAAAUACAGACAUUGCAUUUAUAUAUAUUACUAGUGAUUUUUCUGCCUAACAAUCGAUGUAGACUUUUUCGGUAAAAGACAUGGAUCUGAACGGCUUCCACUGUUACGGCGAGGAAUGUGUGGAGGAGCAAGAAGAAGAAGAACCGACAGCGCCCAGGUUACCUCGAUCAAAGGCAGAAACGUCAUGUAGCAUAAUUGCUACACCGGGUGCAGACAGCGCAGCGGCCGGGGGCAGUCCACUCCGAGAGCAGCGGAUGUCAAAAUCGACGCCGGUGAUGCUCAGGCUCGAUUCGCUGAGAAAGAACAGGCCGCCUUUCUUUCCCAUGGUUUGGCAUGGACAUUGGUGACACAUUGGUGAAGCUGUGCUGUGCUACUUUGAGCCCAAAGACAUUACAGCAGCAGAAGAACAGUAGGAGGUGGAUAGUCUGAAAAGCAUUCGCCGCUACCUCACUUCACACACUGCCUAUGGCAAAACAGGUAUAUGAGAUGUUCACCUGGAGCUCUCUGACCUCACACUUUGGGGCCGCAAGGGCAACCUGCACUUCAUUCGCUUUCCCACACAUGAGCUGCCAGCCUUCCUGCAGACCACCCUCUGUGCCACUGGAGGUGGUGCAUUUAAAUAUGAAGAUGACUUCCGUAAGGUGUGUCCAGUGUCCAAGAUGUAGAUGAGUUUGUUUCUUCAUCGGAACAGAUUUGGAAAAAACUAGCAUUACAUCACUUGCUCACUAAUGGAUCCACUGCAGUGAAUGGGUGCCAUGGAAUGAGAUCCCAGACAGCUGAUAAAAGCAUCCUCAAGUAAUCCACACAAAUUUAGCCCAUUAAUUAACAUCUUGCUAAGUGGAAAUGUAUCAUUAAGAUGUUUUACACUUCUAACCAAAAUAAAAUAAAAUACCAUAAUCCAGAACUGUGUUGUAUUUAUCAGUUGUUUGGACUCUUAUUCUUAAAGCCCCCAGGAUCCAAUUGUGAGCAAGUGAUGAAAUUGUACAUUUCUCUUGUACCUAUAUAUUCUGUACCUGUUUAAGAAACUCAUCUACAUCUUGAAUGGUCUGAAGGUGAUUUUUGGUAAACCUUUUUUUUUUUUUAACUAAUUUGUUCUCUGUGCUGCUUUUUCUCUCUUAGAUGGCCAAUCUGCAGCUGUUGAAGCUUGAUGAGCUUGACUCCCUGAUAAAGGGGGUUCUGUACAUUGACUCAGUGGUCUCAAGUGGUCCACCUGAAUGUUACUAUUUUUAGCUUCCAACAGACCCUGAUUGUUGCGAACAGAAGGCAUACAACCUGGAGAAUAACACUGGCUCUGGUGUCAGCAUACUGGCUGUAUACUCCAAAGACAACUACAAGCGUGUUACUGGAACCAGUCUUGGUGGUGGUACAUUCCUUGGGCUUUGUUGCCUGUUGACUGGAUGCUCCACCUUUGAGGAGGCAUUGGCAGUGGCCACAGAAGGGGAAAGUACAUGUGUUGAUAAACUAGUCAGGGACAUCUAUGGUGGUGACUAUGAACGAUUUGCCUUGCCAGGGCUGUUGCCUCCAGCUUUUUGGAGCAUGAUAUGCAAGGAGAAGAGAGACUCUGUCUCCAAGGAGGAUCUGGCUAGAGCCACACAUGUCACUAUCACCAACAACAUUGGCUCAAUCACACACGUGUGCACUUAACGAGGUACACGUCCACAUCCACACUUUCAAUCUCCAGUAUGCUGUCCUUGCCCUCGUCUGUCAGCUUCUUUACGGUGCUGCCUUGUGAAAUCUGGAUCAAGCAGCAUUGUACAGGGCUAUGAGAGACCAGGUGCCAAUCAGCUCCUUGGAAACUCCUCUUACAAGAAUGACAUUUUCAGAAUCAGUGCUCAUUAUGAGUUUCUCCCAUUUAGAACAUUGAAAGAGUGGUAUUUCUUGGGAACUUUCUGCAAGUGAACACAGCCAUUAAGAUCUGAUACUUUACAUAGCUUAAAUCACAACCACAUGAUUAAACAUCAUUUAAAAUGUGUCAGCUGUCAUCUUAUACUGUAUAUACUUAUGUAUAUUAACUGAUAUUGCAUCAAGCAGAAGAACAGUAACUGAAUCUUGUAUUGUUUAUGGUUGCAACCAUAAUCAUUAUUGUACACUGCACUAUUUUUGGUGCACAAUCAUAAUUUACUCAAAAGCAAGCUGAUAAGUCAAGCGUUUUGCUCUCUUGUACAUGUAUCUGAUGCAACAUAAAUGCAAAAUUGCUAAAUAUAAUUUUUGUUGUAGAUGCCGCAGUGAGUUCAGAAUCAGAAUUUCAUGAAUGUUAUGUAGCACAUUAGAGAAACAGAAAAUAAAUAAAAAUUUUACAUUAUGGAUAAAUCUCCUGAGAACUGUUUUCUUCUUCUUCUUCUUCUUGGAAUAACUUUGGUGUCCCUGUAGCAUAAACCAACACUGAACCAAAAAGUGUUUCGUUUCCUUCUCUUUACUGUGUGUAUAUUACUUGCUUAUUGCUCAAGUCUGUGUAAAUAAGAGAGUUUGUUCCUACACCAGCAAGUAAGAAGUGCCUUGCGUUUUGUAUUUAAAACAUUGAAAACAAGUAUUGUUUUUCAACAAAAACCUCUUUAUAGACAAAAUAAAAGGUUAUUUUUUGUAAUAAAAAAUGUAAAUCACAACAUAAAAA